GGGUUCAGAAACACUAGCUGUUUCUGGAGGUAUGUGUGAAUGGUCGGGCCGCCAUUC
rnacentral:ncRNA from 2 species